UACGGAUUCGGGGUUUCGCCCCAGCAGGGGUGCGUCCUUCCAACCCACGCCGGGGUGGCUGCGGCCCCUUAUCCAGCAACGGUCGCCGCUCCGAGGGCUGCCCUGACGCCCAGACCGGCCUCGAUUCGGUCCUUGGUCCCAACCCCGGGACCUCCACCGACCCGGACCCAGACCUCGAGCUGCGCUGUCUGGCCCCGGCCCGGCUCCGGCUACCCCUCCGACUCUGACCGACCCCGCUCGGACUCCCGGCCCGACUCCGGGUAGUCGCCCAGUCCCUCUUCCUGGGCGCCAACUUCAGCUCCCGCUUCGCCCCAGGCUCGGGUCCGGCUGCCCCACGACCUUAGAGGAACAGAAACUCAUUUCCAGGAAGCACAGGCGGGACAGCAGGUGAAAAAGCCGCUGCGGGGAGCAGAUCUCCGCCCCACCCGACGGUUUCCUGGAGGCAUUCUAGGGGAGUCUGUUUGAGCUCUGGCGGCGCGCCCCGACCCGGAGGCGGCGUUGGGAGCACGUGGCUGGCCCGGAUGCCCAACAAAUCUUAAAUGUGUUUGAGGCGUGCCUGGGCUCUCAGGGGUUCAGCAAACACAAGGAACGCUUCUUCAGGGCCAUCAGAUGUGUGCUUAUCCUACGGGACUCGCAAUUUAUUGGGAGAAUUUGGUGUUUCUCUCAUACACAAAUAACAGAAAUUCCACAUGUCCUGAGUGACAGAUAUUACCUUUCUUGGGGUUCACCCAGUAGCAGUUUCAGGGAAGAAAACUUGGUACGUAGGGGCAUUUUCUAUUUGAUACUCCCUAAAGUCACAGAAAUCAUGGGCCUGCCCACAAAAAAAAACACAAGAAGAUGAGGUGAAAAAUUCCUAGGCCCUGCCGUGCAGCCACAGAAAAUAGGAACCUGCCUGACUGUGGACAUCAAAUGAAUUUCAAGGCCUGGAACCUGGAUAGCAUGGUUCACUGAGUCUAAGAAUGAUCACCUUAUAUGGUAGUAUAAGUUGUUGCUGAGCUGAUAUAACUGGGAAUAUAGAAGGCAGGGAGCCUGUCAUUCUCUGCCUCUUUGACCUGGUAGAUACCUUGCUGUGCAGAGCUGGCAAGAAUGCAAACUUUAUGUGUAUUCUGGGACAUACAAGGGAGGCAAUGGGAAGCAAUAUUUAUCCUCCUGCAUCUCUAUCUUGUUUAUAUUCUUUGCUCUGUUUCUUAGUUCAUCCAAAACUAAACCAAAGUAAAAUCAACUUGAAUGAAAUCCAAGUCUUUAUUCUCUCCAUUCCCCAAACCUAGGCCAGAUUCUAUGGUCUGAUUUUCAGCUUACAUUCUAUUGUCCAGCUCUGUUUUUACAGUAAACACACACAUUUAAUAAAAGGUGACAAUUUGUGCACAGCGAGUAUUAUUUUAAGGGAAGCUAUGGGAAUAUACUCUUGGCCUCAAAGAGCUGACUGUCUAGUGAGGGAGAUAAAAAGUGUAAAAACCACUACUAUCUCUAAAGUCAAGACAAAAUUAGAGGGUCUAAGACCUAUGGUAAACUAGAGGAUGUUCAAUCCAAUAGAUGUAAUAGUGUAGAAAUAGGCCUUUUCAAAUUAUAUGUAUAUAUUUUUUGUUUGUUUGUUUAUUUGUUUUUGAGAUGCAGUCUCGCUGUGUCAC